UUCAGAUUCAUCCCUAAGAAACACCACUAGACCUUUAAACCUUGUCAGUACACUGCUGUGAAACACACUCUGCUGUCAUAUCUCUCUCGAGACAGGUUUUUUUUUACUCCACUUGUCAUCUCUGCUGAUCUCAAAAUCCUUCAGCUCCACUGAUUUCUCAGUGGCACCCCAUCAAAAACAUAUUUGAAGUGUACAAAGAUCUUCCACAUCCCUUUUGUCUAGAAAAUCAGCUGCCUUCUCAAAGAAAGAUAUCAAAUUGCUCUGCCAUCAUCUGCCCAGAACAAAACCAAUGCUUCAUCUUAUGACCUUUUCCAUUUACCUCUGCUAAUUUGUCCAUCCUUCACAAGUUGUACAAAAGCUUUAAAUAUUGCUCAGGUCAGACACAGGCACGUACAUGCUCAGAGCACAUUUACUGCCUUUAUUAACUAGAGAUACUACCUGUGCUAAUCUCUAAUCACAUAUUAUUCACAGUUUGAAAGAUGUAUCAAAGCUCCAUGCCUGCUGCUUGCCAUUUGCAUGCGAGUCCUCCCAACAUCUGGAAAUGCUGAUUACCUGUGCCUCCCAAACUGACUGCAUUCAGCACUUGAAGUUAGCUUCCACCUUGGGUGUGAUCUGGUACCUGAUGCUCUCAGCUGGCCAUCAAAGGGAGAAAACAUGCUGAUAAUUUAAUACAGCUGCCUCCAGCCAAAAAGCAAAUUGAGAAAGUAGCACCAUUGGUAGCUUGUGCCUGAUGGGUGCAGGAGGCUCAAGGGUUCUCAUGGGUGUCACUGGAACUGCUUCUCCACAGACAUCAUCCCCAGACUUGGUCUAGGGCUGAGGGGAGCUCCAGAACAGAAGGAGAUGUUUUGUUUUAUGCCCUGCUUUAAGAAAGGCUGUUCAGCUGGCAGAUGGGAAGACCAAAGCCUGGCUCAGCAUUGAAUGUUCGGUGCCUCCCAUCCCAAACUAUGGACAAUCCAAGCUGGGCACGCUGGGAACUUCUUGUGGAGUACAGCCACACAUCAUGAAACCAUCUUAGCCCCAUCUCCAGACAGGUUUGGACACAAAGUGCAACCCUGCCUGAUCCUGCAGGACUGAAGCCUAGGACAGGAUGAGUUUCAUCUUCUGGGUUUGACUAUGAUAGCUCAGUCACCAGAAUGCCACAGAAGAAAUAAAGCAGGUAGAAAAACAAUUAGGAGGAGCAAGUAUGACCUCCUGAAUGGGGAGAGAGAGAGAGAGAGAGAGAUUGAGGCAGGGUGACAUAGAGAAGGAUGGAUAAAAGUGAUGUGAAAACCAGGUACGAAAUACCUGGAAGGGCAGAAGUAAAUCAUUCCCUCACACAGACUGUCCAAUAAUACAAGAACAGAGGACACACAAUUAGAGCGAAAGGUACUGCAUUUCAAACUGA